AAAUAACUAUCUAAAUUUUAAGUAUAUCAUUUAAAGAAAAGAGGUUUUUUUAACUUUAUUUA
rnacentral:tRNA from 1 species